rnacentral:rRNA from 1 species
CACGUAGGGGGCAAGCGUUGUCCGGAUUUAUUGGGCGUAAAGAGCUCGUAGGCGGCUUAGUAAGUCGGGUGUGAAACCUCCAGGCUCAACCUGGAGACGCCACCCGAUACUGCUGUGGCUAGAGUCCGGUAGGGGAGCGUGGAAUUCCUGGUGUAGCGGUGAAAUGCGCAGAUAUCAGGAGGAACACCCGCGGCGAAGGCGGCGCUCUGGGACGGUACUGACGCUGAGGAGCGAAAGCGUGGGGAGCAAACAGG